AAAGCGCUCCUGCAUCUAUAUUUUAUUCUAAGGUCCUACAAGCUAAUAAACAAUGACUACAUUGAAAAUAGAAUCAAUACGAAAACUUUGUGAAGCCUAGCCUGCAAGAGAUCAUGACUUGUGUGAUGAAUUCACAGGAUAAAAUCACUGAUAGCUGUUUUGUCAAUACACUACAAGCAGGCUAUAUGGACAAGAAGUGUUCAUUUAAGGAGAGCUUUGUUGUUGGACAUAAGAAAUUGGGGCCAAUGGUUCUCCAGGAAAUGGAAUUGCAAGAAAGUCAGGCUGGAAUUCAGAGUCUGGAGAGUUAUGACAUCUAGAAGAUGACAUGAGUAUAUUUGAAUAAAUAUAGAUUGUUGUAUAUGAAAAAAUAAGACAUCCCCUGAUAAUAAGUCCUAAUGUUUCUUUUGAAAAAUUAAUAUAAGACAUGAUCUUAUUUUCAAGGAAAUUAAUAUAAGACAUGAUCUUAUUUUCAAGGAAAU
rnacentral:lncRNA from 1 species